AUGACCCCACUCCCAACAUUAACGUGCCUCCAAGAACUCCCACAAGAACUUCGUAAAGGGCAGAAGAAGAGGGCCGAGCUGCAGCUCUGCAACAGGGAGAGGAGGUCCAACGCGGACGAGGAGGAACCGGGACCGCCGCACAUUAAAGAGGAAGAGGAGGAACUGUGCACCAGCCAGGAUGCAGAGCAGUUUGUGGUGAAGCAGGAGAAUGGGUCGCUUUUGCUUCUUCAGUUCAAACCCAAAUCUGAAGAACUAUUUGAGGUUUCAGAAGGCAGCCUGGUCCCGUCUGAGGAGGAGAUGGACGGUCAGUACAGAGCGCUGGACGCUGCCUGGAGGCCGCGAGGAAAGCUGCGUAGAAUCGAGGAAACCGAGCCGGACACGGGGCCCGCUGCGGCGGAUGAGGAAGACUCCGAGGCCUCUUCGGCCUCCCAGCCGGCCCCGGCCCAGGAGAUGAAGAAGAGGAAGAAGGUGGCCACCGCCGCCGAUGGGGACAGACAGUACCCCUGGGGGGAUGGACACCAAGAUACAAUGGCGCGCUUUUGGCUGACACACCCGAUCUUCUACGAUAAAGCCCAACAGCACUACAAAAACAAAGAAAUGAGGAAGCAGCUCAUGCAGGACUUGAUUCAAAAGAACCACAAGGAGUGGGAGAAGAUCCUCACCCCCCUGCCCACCGUGGUCCAAGUGGAUGCACAUUUGCGCAACAUGCGAACCAGAUUUGUGAAGCUGCUAAAGCGUAAAUCUGCUGCCCCCGCGCUGACGUUGUCCUACAAGGAUCAGAAGAUCUGGGAGCGCUACCAGUUCCUGCGUCCGUACAUUCAGCGCAACCGGACAACAGCAACACACUGUAUUCCUGGCGUGCAGUCCAGAGGGGACGCUGCUGAGGAUGACAUUGAUGAAGAUCCCAGUCUUCAAUUGAGUCAGCGGGUCGAAUUGGGCGGUCAGCCCUCCAGCUCUCAGACGCCGCCAAAAGGGAAAGGAAAGGUCAUAAACAGAAGACCUCUCACUUCGCCUACGCCAUCUACUGGUCCAGACAGCGAGGACGUGUCUGAGAUGGAGGUAAAAGCCAUCUUUCCUAAAAGCCAAAACUUUAAAGAUGAUAGCAACCUCAUAGUUCUAGUUCUAUUUUUCUGUUUGUGUCUUGCUUCCUCCUCCUCCUUCUCAUUUUGCACGUAUGUGCAGCAAAUACUGCAGCAGGCCAAGGACCUGAUCUCGAGCAUCAGGGCUCCAUCGCGCAGUGAGCAUGAGAGGAGGGUCAGGGACUUCAGCAGGUAUAUGGAGUCAGAGAUGCUUCUAAUACCAGAGUCCUUAUGGGACGAGUGCAGCUUCUCCAUCAUGAACGUGAUCCGAGGCUUCAAGACGGCUCAGAAGCAGGGACACCUGGCCCUGUCGCAGCAUCAAGCCUACCAGCAGGUGAACCAAUGCACCGUUAUUCUCUCUAUGACGAAAUAUUGCUUUCCUAACUGAUUCUUAAGAUUGUUGAUUAGUUUUCAGUACUAAACAUUAUUUGGAUAAAUCUAAGAUCUAAGCUUGGAUCUUAGGGAAGAAAGUAACCUAGUAAUAAAAAAAUGUAACCCCUUAUUUCCCUUCCACGACAAAAAAACUCCCAAAGUGCAAAAAUCUCUUAAAAGCCACUUAACCCUUGUGCUAUCCUAGGCACUUAAACAUUGGGAGUUGGGUCAUCUAUACUUUUUGGACGAUUUUGGAUGAAAAUGGAAUAAUCAUAAUUAAAAGAACAUUUAAUUAUAGAAGAAAAGAACAUUUUGAGAAUAGUUCAAAGGAUGAUUGGAGUGGGACUUUAAGGCAACUGUUAUUUGGGGUCAAAUCUGCUUCAUUUACCAAAAUAAAACCUCCAUGCUAGCAAAGUUAGCUAAAAACCAAAAUCUUUGGAAAGUGUUUAUGUGUAGAAAAGAGCAAACACGAACACAGAGAGAAAGCAGGAGUCUUUACUCAAAAUAUGGAUUUAUUGGGACAGCUCCACUCCACAUAAUGUGCGGCGACAAACUAAUGUAAUGAAGAUACUGCUAAUAUAGUUUCAACUAGGGUGGAUUCAGGUUUAUUAUUAUAGUUUUUGUGACACCUUGACAGUCAGACGAGGCUGUAUUUAGCAUCAGGUGUUUAGUUAAGGGAAAAUCUAAACCGCAUUUUAAUGGGUCCUACACAAAAUCUAGUGUACAAUUAGAGUUUAAACUGUCUGCAGAUAUUUUACAGAGAGUGAAAAUAAACUUUUUCCUUAAAAGUGAAGGAAAACGGAUGCUAUAAAGAUGGGAUGCCCCCCUUAGCCUCGUCCAUGCAACGGAUACCCAAAUGAUGAGUGGGGACUUUCUCACUGUACAUCUGCUAAAAAGAACUGUAGUAGCUCGAGAGCAAACUUAACGUUCCUAUUUCUAACCCAAUUUUUUACAGAGUUAUGGGAGCCAGCCGUACCAGCAGCCACAGGGGGGGUAUUCCACACAGACUGGCAGCUUGCAGCCUCAUAGUGGUACCUUCCAGAAUCACCAGCAACCGGGCACUUUCCACCAACAGAGUGGGACCUUUCAGUAGCUGCAGCCGCUGCUGGAUCGGACAUGCUGCCCACCGUGGUCAGCAGUUCUGUUUGGACGCCAGCUGGAGCAAACGCUUGUGGACUUUGGCGUUCAUCCCGUGAGGAAGAGGAAGUCUACGGCUGGAAUCGCCAAAUGUGUUGCCAACCCCAACAGCUGCUAAGUGGGCAGAGUUGAGCAGGACUCAGACUUGCUUUGUAAUUUUUUUUACAGCUUAUCUAUUUGUACGCACUGUUUGCACUUAAAAAAUAAAGUGUGCAUUGAAGUGAGGAGCUGACGCCUGGACGGUCUCGUGCUUUUACCUCACCAGGUUUCCCACAAGGACACAGUCUCCUCACCGUUGUAUUA
ensembl:lncRNA